ensembl:misc_RNA Metazoa_SRP Metazoan signal recognition particle RNA
GCCAGGUGUGAUAGCUCACACCUGUAAUCCCAGGAUUUUGGGAGGCUGAGGUGGAAGGAUCACUUAAGCCCAGGAGUUCAAGACCAGCCUGGGCAACAUAGUGAGACUCCAUCUCUA